UACGGGGGGGGCAAGCGUUGUUCGGAAUUACUGGGCGUAAAGGGCUUGUAGGCGGCCAACUAAGUCAGACGUGAAAUCCCUCGGCUUAACCGGGGAACUGCGUCUGAUACUGGAUGGCUUGAGUUUGGGAGAGGGAUGCGGAAUUCCAGGUGUAGCGGUGAAAUGCGUAGAUAUCUGGAGGAACACCGGUGGCGAAGGCGGCAUCCUGGACCAACACUGACGCUGAGUGAGCGAAAGCCAGGGGAGCAAACGGG
rnacentral:rRNA from 1 species